AGUCGGCCGGUUUGCCGCCGGCAUCCAUAAAAAGAAGUCGGAGGAAAGUCCGGGCAACAUAGGGCAGUCUACUUCUUAACGGGAAGCUAUUCGCGAGAGUAGGUCAAAGCAGAAGAAAAUAACCGCCUCAUGUCAUCUUGAGGUAAGGGUGAGAAGGCGAGGUAAGAGCUCACCGGCCGAGCAGUGAUGCAAGGCGCUGUGCUUGACAGACGUUGAAAGUUCAAGUAUACCGGUGUUUGAGGGCGGCCCGUCCAAACUAAUUAAAAGUACAUCGGAGGGUAGAACGAUUAAGCCUUCGGGUGACCGGAGGAUCAGACAAAUGGCAGACACUUUCCGCAAGGAAAGCACAGAACCCGGCUUAUAGGCCGACUCUU
rnacentral:RNase_P_RNA from 1 species